rnacentral:rRNA from 1 species
UUAAGCGACUAAGCGUACACGGUGGAUGCCCUGGCAGUCAGAGGCGAUGAAGGACGUGCUAAUCUGCGAAAAGCGACGGCGAGGUGAUAUGAACCUUUGACCCGUCGAUGUCCGAAUGGGGAAACCCAGUGUGUUCCGACACACUAUCGUUAACUGAAUACAUAGGUUAACGAGGCGAACCGGGGGAACUGAAACAUCUAAGUACCCCGAGGAAAAGAAAUCAACCGAGAUUCCCCCAGUAGCGGCGAGCGAACGGGGAGCAGCCCGGAGUCUGAAUCAGCUUGUGUGUUAGUGGAACGGUCUGGAAAGUCCGACGGUACAGGGUGAUAGUCCCGUACACGAAAAUGCACUUGCUGUGAACUCGAAGAGUAGGGCGGGACACGUGGUAUCCUGUCUGAAUAUGGGGAGACCAUCCUCCAAGGCUAAAUACUCCUGACUGACCGAUAGUGAACCAGUACCGUGAGGGAAAGGCGAAAAGAACCCCGGCGAGGGGAGUGAAAAAGAACCUGAAACCGUGUACGUACAAGCAGUGGGAGCCUCUUUAUGGGGUGACUGCGUACCUUUUGUAUAAUGGGUCAGCGACUUAUAUUCUGUAGCAAGGUUAACCGUAUAGGGGAGCCGAAGGGAAACCGAGUCUUAACUGGGCGUUAAGUUGCAGGGUAUAGACCCGAAACCCGGUGAUCUAGCCAUGGGCAGGUUGAAGGUUGGGUAACACUAACUGGAGGACCGAACCGACUAAUGUUGAAAAAUUAGCGGAUGACCUGUGGCUGGGGGUGAAAGGCCAAUCAAACCGGGAGAUAGCUGGUUCUCCCCGAAAGCUAUUUAGGUAGCGCCUCGUGAACUCAUCUUCGGGGGUAGAGCACUGUUUCGGCUAGGGGGCCAUCCCGGCUUACCAACCCGAUGCAAACUACGAAUACCGAAGAAUGUUAUCACGGGAGACACACGGCGGGUGCUAACGUCCGUCGUGAAGAGGGAAACAACCCAGACCGCCAGCUAAGGUCCCAAAGUCAUGGUUAAGUGGGAAACGAUGUGGGAAGGCACAGACAGCCAGGAUGUUGGCUUAGAAGCAGCCAUCAUUUAAAGAAAGCGUAAUAGCUCACUGGUCGAGUCGGCCUGCGCGGAAGAUGUAACGGGGCUAAACCAUGCACCGAAGCUGCGGCAGCGACACUAUGUGUUGUUGGGUAGGGGAGCGUUCUGUAAGCCGUUGAAGGUGUGCUGUGAGGCAUGCUGGAGGUAUCAGAAGUGCGAAUGCUGACAUAAGUAACGAUAAAGCGGGUGAAAAGCCCGCUCGCCGGAAGACCAAGGGUUCCUGUCCAACGUUAAUCGGGGCAGGGUGAGUCGACCCCUAAGGCGAGGCCGAAAGGCGUAGUCGAUGGGAAACAGGUUAAUAUUCCUGUACUUGGUGUUACUGCGAAGGGGGGACGGAGAAGGCUAUGUCAGCCGGGCGACGGUUGUCCCGGUUUAAGCAUGUAGGCGGAGGUUCCAGGUAAAUCCGGUACCUUUUAACGCUGAGGUGUGAUGACGAGGCACUACGGUGCUGAAGUGAUAAAUGCCCUGCUUCCAGGAAAAGCCUCUAAGCAUCAGGUAACACGAAAUCGUACCCCAAACCGACACAGGUGGUCAGGUAGAGAAUACCAAGGCGCUUGAGAGAACUCGGGUGAAGGAACUAGGCAAAAUGGUGCCGUAACUUCGGGAGAAGGCACGCUGAUAUGUAGGUGAAGCCCCUGCGGGCGGAGCUGAAAUCAGUCGAAGAUACCAGCUGGCUGCAACUGUUUAUUAAAAACACAGCACUGUGCAAACACGAAAGUGGACGUAUACGGUGUGACGCCUGCCCGGUGCCGGAAGGUUAAUUGAUGGGGUUAGCGGCAACGCGAAGCUCUUGAUCGAAGCCCCGGUAAACGGCGGCCGUAACUAUAACGGUCCUAAGGUAGCGAAAUUCCUUGUCGGGUAAGUUCCGACCUGCACGAAUGGCGUAAUGAUGGCCAGGCUGUCUCCACCCGAGACUCAGUGAAAUUGAACUCGCUGUGAAGAUGCAGUGUACCCGCGGCAAGACGGAAAGACCCCGUGAACCUUUACUAUAGCUUGACACUGAACACUGGUCCUUGAUGUGUAGGAUAGGUGGGAGGCUUUGAAGCGUGGACGCCAGUCUGCGUGGAGCCAUCCUUGAAAUACCACCCUUUAAUGGCUGGUGUUCUAACGUAGACCCGUAAUCCGGGUUGCGGACAGUGUCUGGUGGGUAGUUUGACUGGGGCGGUCUCCUCCCAAAGAGUAACGGAGGAGCACGAAGGUUGGCUAAUCCUGGUCGGACAUCAGGAGGUUAGUGCAAUGGCAUAAGCCAGCUUGACUGCGAGCGUGACGGCGCGAGCAGGUGCGAAAGCAGGUCAUAGUGAUCCGGUGGUUCUGAAUGGAAGGGCCAUCGCUCAACGGAUAAAAGGUACUCCGGGGAUAACAGGCUGAUACCGCCCAAGAGUUCAUAUCGACGGCGGUGUUUGGCACCUCGAUGUCGGCUCAUCACAUCCUGGGGCUGAAGUAGGUCCCAAGGGUAUGGCUGUUCGCCAUUUAAAGUGGUACGCGAGCUGGGUUUAGAACGUCGUGAGACAGUUCGGUCCCUAUCUGCCGUGGGCGCUGGAGAAUUGAGGGGGGCUGCUCCUAGUACGAGAGGACCGGAGUGGACGCAUCACUGGUGUUCGGGUUGUCAUGCCAAUGGCACUGCCCGGUAGCUAAAUGCGGAAGAGAUAAGUGCUGAAAGCAUCUAAGCACGAAACUUGCCCCGAGAUGAGUUCUCCCUGAGACUUUAAGUCUCCUGAAGGAACGUUGAAGACGACGACGUUGAUAGGUCGGGUGUGUAAGCGCAGCGAUGCGUUGAGCUAACCGAUACUAAUGAACCGUGAGGCUUAACCUU